UACAGAGGUCUCAAGCGUUGUUCGGAUUCAUUGGGCGUAAAGGGUGCGUAGGCGGCGCGGUAAGUCGGGUGUGAAAUCUCGGAGCUUAACUCCGAAACUGCAUUCGAUACUGCCGUGCUCGAGGACUGGAGAGGAGACUGGAAUUUACGGUGUAGCGGUGAAAUGCGUAGAUAUCGUAAGGAAGACCAGUGGCGAAGGCGGGUCUCUGGACAGUUCCUGACGCUGAGGCACGAAGGUCAGGGGAGCAAACGGG
rnacentral:rRNA from 1 species